AGACUUUUAGCAAUACCUGCCCAGUGCGAAAUAUUACUGUAAACGGCCGCCCUAGCGUGAGGGUGCUAAGGUAGCGAAAUUCCUUGCCUUUUGAUUGUAGGCCUGCAUGAAUGGUUUAACGAGGGUUUAACUGUCUCUAAAUUUUUUAUUGAAAUUGUACUGAAGGUGAAGAUACCUUCAUUAAAAAGUUAGACAAAAAGACCCCGUGCAACUUUGAAAAUUGACUUUAUUCAGGAGUAAAAGAUUUUUAGGUGGGGCGCCUAGAAAGUAAGCCUAACCUUUCUGAGUAACUAACUCUUUCCGGAUUUGACCCGAUUAUAUUCGAUCAUAGGAGAAGUUACGCCGGGGAUAACAGGCUAAUCCUUUAGUAGAGUUCGUAUUGGCUAAAGGGAUUGGCACCUCGAUGUUGAAUCAGGGAUGAUAGCUUCAAGGCGUAGAGGCUUUGAAAGUAGGUCUGUUCGACCUUUAAUACCCUACGUGAUCUGAGUUCAGACCCGGA
rnacentral:rRNA from 1 species